UGGGGAAUAUUGCACAAUGGCGGGAACUCUUAUGCAGCGACGCCGCGUGAACGAAGAAGGCUUUCGAGUCGUAAAGUUCUUUUAUAUGGGAAGAUAAUGACGGUACCAUAAGAAAAAGCCCCGGCUAACUACGUGCCAGCAGCCGCGGUAAUACGUAGGGGGCUAGCGUUGUCCGGAAUCACUGGGCGUAAAGGGUUCGCAGGCGGAAAUGCAAGUCAGGUGUAAAAGGCAGUAGCUUAACUACUGUAAGCAUUUGAAACUGCAUAUCUUGAGAAGAGUAGAGGUAAGUGGAAUUUUUAGUGUAGCGGUGAAAUGCGUAGAUAUUAAAAAGAAUACCGGUGGCGAAGGCGACUUACUGGGCUCAUUCUGACGCUGAGGAACGAAAGCGUGGGUAGCAAACAGG
rnacentral:rRNA from 1 species